AGCCCCCCGAUUUCUCUCUAGGGGGUAACCCCGCCAGGUCCUCCACCCCAGAGGCCAUCCUCAAUAGGAUGCCUAGGGCUUGGAGGAAGGCAGGGAGGAGAACAGCGGUCUGCGAGUUCUCCAGUCAUCGAGCGGCCGCUGAAGGUCCCUGUCGCUUCAAAGGGGGUUUGAGGAAGAAUUCCUUCAACAACAGGGGUUUAAUGAUGGAGACCGCCGGUAAAAGCGUUCUGCCUGAGAAUUUUGGAGUAGCA
rnacentral:lncRNA from 1 species